CCUACGGGAUGCUGCAGUGAGGAAUAUUGGUCAAUGGCCGCAGGGCUGAACCAGCCAAGUCGCGUGAGGGAUGACGGUCCUACGGAUUGUAAACCUCUUUUGUCAGGGAGCAAAGGGCGCCACGUGUGGCGUUUUGCGAGUACCUGAAGAAAAAGCAUCGGCUAACUCCGUGCCAGCAGCCGCGGUAAUACGGAGGAUGCGAGCGUUAUCCGGAUUUAUUGGGUUUAAAGGGUGCGCAGGCGGAAUGUCAAGUCAGCGGUAAAAGUUCGGGGCUAAACCCCGUCGUGCCGUUGAAACUGGGGUGCUUGAGUGAGCGAGAAGUAUGCGGAAUGCGUGGUGUAGCGGUGAAAUGCAUAGAUAUCACGCAGAACUCCGAUUGCGAAGGCAGCAUACCGGCGCUCAACUGACGCUCAUGCACGAAAGCGUGGGUAUCGAACAGGAUUAGAUACCCGGGUAGUC
rnacentral:rRNA from 1 species